rnacentral:rRNA from 1 species
UACAGAGGUCCCAAGCGUUGUUCGGAUUCAUUGGGCGUAAAGGGUGCGUAGGUGGCGCUGUAAGUCGGGUGUGAAAUUUCGGAGCUUAACUCCGAAACUGCAUUCGAUACUGCGGUGCUUGAGGACUGGAGAGGAGACUGGAAUUCAUGGUGUAGCAGUGAAAUGCGUAGAGAUCAGCAGGAACACCCGUGGCGAAGGCGGCCCACUGGAUCGGUACUGACGCUGAGGUGCGAAAGCGUGGGGAGCAAACAGG